rnacentral:rRNA from 1 species
UACGUAGGGUGCAAGCGUUGUCCGGAAUUAUUGGGCGUAAAGAGCUCGUAGGCGGCUUGUCGCGUCUGCUGUGAAAUCCCGGGGCUCAACUCCGGGCCUGCAGUGGGUACGGGCAGGCUAGAGUGCGGUAGGGGGGACUGGAACUCCUGGUGUAGCGGUGAAAUGCGCAGAUAUCAGGAGGAACACCGAUGGCGCAGGCAGGUCUCUGGGCUGUUACUGACGCUGAGGAGCGAAAGCAUGGGGAGCGAACAGG